rnacentral:rRNA from 1 species
UACGUAGGGUGCAAGCGUUGUCCGGAAUUAUUGGGCGUAAAGAGCGUGUAGGCGGUCCGGUAAGUCGGCUGUGAAAGUCCAGGGCUCAACCCUGGGAUGCCGGUCGAUACUGCCGGACUAGAGUUCGGAAGAGGCGAGUGGAAUUCCCGGUGUAGCGGUGAAAUGCGCAGAUAUCGGGAGGAACACCUAUGGCGAAGGCAGCUCGCUGGGACGUUACUGACGCUGAGACGCGAAAGCGUGGGGAGCAAACAGG